GACGAAGGAUGCAAGCGUUAUCCGGAUUCAUUGGGUUUAAAGGGUGCGUAGGUGGCCUUAUAAGUCAGUGGUGAAAUCUCGAGGCUUAACCUCGAAAUUGCCAUUGAUACUGUAGGGCUUGAGUAUAGUUGCCGUUGGCGGAAUAUGACAUGUAGUGGUGAAAUACAUAGAGAUGUCAUAGAACACCGAUUGCGAAGGCAGCUAACGAAACUAUAACUGACACUGAGGCUCGAAAGUGCGGGGAUCAAACAGG
rnacentral:rRNA from 1 species